GCUUUUGAGUUUGGUGUUAAUAGAAGUAUCUUUGUAGGGUUAUAUGUUGUGAGUACCUAAAGGGAAAUAAUUAGUUGAGUAUUAAUGAAUGUUGUACCGUGAGGGGUAGUUUGAAAUAUGUGGAAAAUUGAUGUGUGGUAAAGUGGGCUUUUAUGGUCGUACCUUGGGUAUCAGGGUUAAUCGAAAGUUUUUUAAUUAUUUAAAGAUCCCGAUUUAAGGAGGGCUAGGGAGUUUAGUUGGUUAUUGUGGAAUUACUAUCAAAAAAGAUUGUCUAGUAAUUAAAUGUUAUUCGUUCCUUAAGAUAUCUGGUUUUUUAAGAAAUGAAUUUAAUUCAGCUGUUUGUGGGUUUUGUGCUUAAUUGGUUAUUAAAGUUUGAUUAAAUUAACGAAGAGUAAUUGUUUGGGGGAUAAGCUCCGGGCAAAAUUGUUAAAAUUUUAUAGGUUGUAUAAUUGGUCUAGGCUUGAAAGUAGCCACGGAUGAAAAAGUGUUAUAUCUUGUUUUAUGAGUUAUAUUAUUUUGAAAAGUUUAAUUGUUAUAUUAAAAUGUAGUUAUGAAUUUAAAAUAAUUGGGAAUAAUGAUUAAAUUAGUAUAAGUGUUGUAGUUGGGUAUGUAAUAGUAGGGAGUAGGCCAUGGUAAGGAACUCGGCAAACAGGCGCUCGCCUGUUUAUCAAAAACAUGUCCUCUUGUGAAGUAAUAAUUUGAGGUCUAACCUGCCCACUGAAUAAGAUUUAAAGGGCCGCGGUAUUUUGACCGUGCUAAGGUAGCAUAAUCAUUAGUCUUUUAAUUGAAGGCUGGAAUGAAUGGUUGGACGAGGCGUCGACUGUCUCAUUGUGGAUGAUUUUAGAAUUUAACAUUUAAGUUAAAAGGCUUAAAUGGACUUAAAGGACGAGAAGACCCUAUAGAUCUUUAUAUUUGUGCCUUGUUGGUUAUUAGGUUGUUUAUAGUCAUUAGGGUAGCUAAUAUUUUAUUGGGGUGAUAGGAAGAUAAAAGAAACUCUUUUUGUUUUGGUUACAUUGAUAUUUGAGUUAUAGUGAUCCGUUUGUAGCGAUUGUAAGAUUAAGUUACCUUAGGGAUAACAGCGUAAUCUUUUUUGAGAGUUCGUAUCGACAAAAAGGGUUGCGACCUCGAUGUUGGAUUAAGGUGAAAUUUGGGGGCAGGUGUUCAAAUUUUUGGGUCUGUUCGACCCUUAAAUCCUUACAUGAUCUGAGUUCAGACCGGCGUAAGCCAGGUCGGCUUCUAUCCUUAAAUAGGUGAAAUGUUUUAGUACGAAAGGACCGGGCAUUUGAAUUAAUAUUUUUACUGGAAGGGAUUAAUAAUAAGGGGUA
rnacentral:rRNA from 1 species